rnacentral:rRNA from 1 species
UACAGAGGUCCCGAGCGUUGUUCGGAUUCACUGGGCGUAAAGGGUGCGUAGGUGGUGAGGUGUGUCGGAUGUGAAAGCUCGGAGCUCAACUCCGAAAUGGCAUUGGAAACUACCUUGCUUGAGGGUUGGAGGGGGGACUGGAAUACUUGGUGUAGCAGUGAAAUGCGUAGAUAUCAAGUGGAACACCAGUGGCGAAGGCGAGUCCCUGGACAACUCCUGACACUGAGGCACGAAAGCUAGGGGAGCAAACAGG